GUCCACCGAGGCGCCGCUGCGCCAGGGGCAUCAUUAAGUAGCUGGGGUUGCGGUCAGAAGCGAGGCCGCCGCCUCCAGAAACUGGCACAACCCACCGUGCCACCGGCCCCAGUGCACCGCCUUCCCAUUCCUGGCGCCCCCACCCACCCUACCUCACCCAGGCACUUCACGGGGAUGACUCAGGGAGCGUCCUGAAAUUCCUCGGCACCCACAGGCGGCGCGGAGAGGGACUGUGGGCCCCAUCGUCCCCACCCCCAACGCGACGAGCGCUGGAGACCGGUCCCCAAAACACCCCCUUUCGCCACCCGGGAGGCGCAGGAUCACACGGGGGUCCCGUGGCCCAGCCCAGUGCGCAGCCGGCAGCCGGCGCGAGAACCGGCUGCUUCUUCCCACACACCGUAGCUCCACUGAAAGCCGUACCCUCAACCCGGUUUCAGAUGAGGAAUUUGCCCAGAAGUGUUCAAGGUGACAAGCAUGCAGGUGAGCUGGGAAUCCUCCCCAGCGUCUCAAACCAGGAGUGUCUCCGUCCAAGGUGGCAGAAGGGUGACACACACCCCUGGCGGCCACAGGGGGACAGCAGCGAGCCAGCUGUGUGCACCCAGGCCAGAAAAUGCUGGCAGCCACAAGGAGAUGGAUGGCCUUCACUGUCACUACCCCUGCCCCAGGAAAUCAGUAAUCACGGAGCAGGGCCUCUGACUUUAAGGGUGGGAAUUGCUCUGUGGUAGCCAUGUGGUCCCUUGUUAACUGGCUGUGUCCUGUAUGGAUGGACUGCUAAUUCCCGACUGCACGGCUAAAGCGAACCUCCCUGUGGCUGCCCUCCCCCUUCCUUCCUCCCCCUUCCUUCCUCCCCCCUCUCCCCUCAGCAGCUGCCCCACUCCCACCCCAUCAGCCUAGCUGUACAGCCUUCCCUCGCUGGGUUUCUUUCCCUCGGUUGCCAUUUUUUUUUUAAGGAAAGUUGGCCGAGAAAGGAUUUCCGACAAACUGCUAGGUGCACUCCUGGGGUUGGGGUAGGGUGGGGGCACCCUCCCCAGCUCACGAUGCUUGCCUGCCCCAGGACGGAGAAUCAAACGGCCCUCCUUCCCGGGGCUCUGCCAUUCUGGGCCUCCUAAAAGUAAAGAGCAGGGUCCCCCAGGUUUCACACCCUUGCUGAGAACCUGGGACCUCAGAAACCUUUUCAAGAACAGAGAACAUCAAGCCUGAGAUGGGCGGGGUUUCCAGAGCUGGGGGGACUGCCCGAACCAGGACACGUACGGGUGUUUGUCCACUGGCCAGACAUGCGGUCCCCGGGGCGGUUUCACAAGGGCCUCCCCGGAAACAAAACUGAAAACUUCACAGCGGCGGCUCAGGAAGGCCACAGGGUGGAUACCAGAGGCUCGCAGCGGUUAGGAAGGUGGGAGGGCAGCUUAGAGCGGCCCCCACCGAGGUCAGGUACCCGCCUGGGCCUGCACAGAUGCCAGCCCUGUCUGAAGUGAGCCCUGGAUUCGAGGUGGAGUCCUGCCUUUCGGGCCACCCUUCUGGGGUUGAGCAGGGAGAUGCAAGAUGAAAACUUAACAGUUAGGUUUCCCGUCUGACCAGCUGCUCCCACCAGAGGCGGGCGCCACCUCCUCUUAGGUCACAUGGCACCUCUACGUACAGGAGCCCUCGACUCCAGCAGACCUGGGUAAUGACUCCAGCAGACCUGGUAAUAGACACCUUCCCAAUGCAGAGGUGCUAAGCUCUGUCACGGAGUGUCCUCCGGGCCUCCUGGUGAGAGGCAGGCGGUGACCAGCACUACCCAGGAGUCAGGAGACCCAAGAAUGUUAAUUAACCUGCCAUGGGGGCGGGGGUGGGGGGGUCAGAAAUCGGGAACACAUAAGCCUGACAUAGACAGUGGCUUACACCUGGCAGCAUUCUGGCAGGACCCUAAGACACCUUCUGCAGUUUGUCACCUCAGGUACUCCAGAGUCUGAGGUGAGGUUGGGGAGGGCAGCUGGGGUCCUCUGGUCAGAUUCUUUCUUCGAAGCAUGGGGAAGCCCUGUGGAAGGCAGGCUGCUGGGUUUUUGGCACUUUUGCUUUCUUGAUGUCUCUGGAUGAAUACUUAGUACCCUGAAAACUAUCGGGGUUGGCAGAGGAUGGGAAGGGAUGAGAAGCAGAGAAAGGGGGUCUGCCCAGCUUCCAUCCAUCCUUACUGCCUGAGCCAUGCUCUCCAGGACUGCUGCCGCACAAGCUAUCAAGCCCUCAAAACGUCCCUGCUUUUUCUUCUCUGUCCCGCACCCAUGGGCAUUAGUCAAAGACCUGCUUAAAUCUGUGUUCCUAGGCUGGGUGUGGUGGUGUACACCUGGUUCCAGCACUUGAGAGGUAGAGGCAGGUGAAUUUCUGAGUUCGGGGCCAGCCUGACAGAGUCUACAGAAUGAGUUCCAGGACAGCCAGGGCUACACAGAGAAACCCUGUAUCAGAAAAACAACCAACAAACAAACAAUAAAAAAUUACGUUCUGCUGA